CGUAGGGUGCGAGCGUUAAUCGGAAUUACUGGGCGUAAAGUGUGCGCAGGCGACCGCGCAAGUCGAGUGUGAAAGCCCCGGGCUUAACUUGGGAAUUGCGCUCGAAACUACGUGGCUAGAGUGUGGCAGAGGGAGGUGGAAUUCCACGUGUAGCGGUGAAAUGCGUAGAGAUGUGGAGGAACACCGAUGGCGAAGGCAGCCUCCUGGGCCAACACUGACGCUCAUGCACGAAAGCGUGGGGAGCAAACAGGAUUAGAUACCCUGGUAGUCCACGCCCUAAACGAUGAUGACUAGUUGUUGGGGGAGUUAAAUCCCUUAGUAACGCAGCUAACGCGUGAAGUCAUCCGCCUGGGGAGUACGGUCGCAAGAUUA
rnacentral:rRNA from 1 species